UUAUUGUCGUUAGUGCCCUUGGUGUGCCUG
rnacentral:piRNA from 1 species